CAAUAGCGUAUAUUAAAGCUGUUGCGGUUAAAAAGCUCGUAGUUGGAUUUCUGUCAAGGACAACUGGUCCGCCCUCCGGGUGAGCACAUAGUUUGGUCUUGGCAUCUUGCUGGAAGCUGUUGCUGCACUUGGCUGUGUGGCGCAGCGUCCAGCACUUUCACUUUGAGGAAAUUGGAGUGUUUCAAGCAGGCACAUGCCUUUGGACACAGUAGCAUGGAAUAAUUAGAUUGGGCUUUUGCUCCAAUUUGUCGGUCUCUGGAGCUGAGGUGAGAAUUAAUGGGGAUUGUUGGGGGCAUCCGAAUUUAGCCGUCAGAGGUGAAAUUCUUGGAUCUGCUAAAGACGGACAACUGCGAAAGCGUUUGCCCAGGAUGUUUUCAUUGA
rnacentral:rRNA from 1 species